CGCGCUUCCCAUCUCCUCUUUGGGCCCCGGUCCUGAGGGGAGGGCCAAGGCCGCCCCACUCUGCCUCUUGGGUUUUUCUUGUCCUCCCAUCGCGCGUCUGUCAGGCACAAGCCAGUGGGAGCUGCUUCCCCACGGAACCAGGUCCCCCCACCCCAGGUGCUGGGAACAGGGAGGGGAGGGGCUGUCGGGCCGCAGCCGCCUGGAGCUUGGCCUCCCGGGGCUUCCCAGACGCACCUGGACGAGCCUCCGAGAGGUGCAAGGUGCUGCCGAGCUGGCCUGCUCACGGUGCUACUUCAUCCUGGGGGAGCGUAGGAGGGGCUGUUCUUUCCAGCUCUCCACGUCUCACCUGUGGGCUGUGCCGCCUGCCCGGGAAUUUGUCCCAACAAGCAGGAUGGGCAGGUUUUGCCAAACAGCGUGGAAGCCGGCGAGGCUGGGUGUGGGCAGCCCAGUACACUGUAAGCUCUCUCAUUACGCACGUUUGUUCUCUUAAUAGCAGGCACCUUGGCCUCUGGCCUCUAAGGGCUCCUGCAUUCCCUGUGAGUAGUAUUGCCUGGCAAAGGCCUGGGCACGUGAGACCUGGGGCAGCCGGCUUUGGAGGGUCCCGAGCUGGGGGGCCAGCCCCCAUGCCUGCCAGGUCCCCAGGCCCAAGCUUCUGCGGGGCUUCUCACGGGGAGAUGUGGAAACUUCCGGUCUACCUCCGACCUGCCUUUCUCUGCUGUCUGCCCCACCCCACCUCCCUACAGAAACUCCCCAGGGGGUUCUGGCCUCUGGGUCCCUCCUGGCUGGAGCCAUUCCUGGCUGGGGUGGAGCUUGUUUUCAUUCUUUGGGAGCAGCCUGUUCUGAGGUCUGCCUCCCCCUCACCAGUGGUCCUGGUCAGCUUCUCCCUCUGGCGUCCCCAGCCCAGCUCCUUGCCCAGAUCGCGCCGCGGGGAUCAGUCGGGUGGCCGUGCCCUGGGCAGAAAAGCAGAGCACCACGUGGCUUCUCAGAAUCACCGGACCCUGGUCGAGUGAUGUGGUAGCUGCUUUCAACAGUUAACUUGCGGGGUCUCUCUGGCCAGCCUCGUCCGUCUCCAUCGGUUUGUUUUCUCAUCCUCGGGAGGCUGCAUCUCCCCCUGCGUGUAUCUCCCCAGGACCGUUCUCAGGAUGUCCUCAAGGGCUGCCCUCUGACCAGGUGCCUGACCCCACGCUGGGCCUCGGUUUCCUCCCCUGCGGAGCAUAGGGACUGGAUUUCCUGGGCUCCUCGACACGACCCUUGCCAGAUUCUGUGGAAGAAAUUAAGUCCUUGACCCCAGGCCUUGAGCACACAGUUCUGGGUCUGCAGCUUCAAGGAGAGUGACGCAACCAGAUUCCAUGGGGACAUGAUCAGGCGUGACAGCUCGCCGGGGAGGGAAGUGGGAGCCGAGGAUGAAGAAUGCGAUUUCUGUGCCCCAGGCACCCCUGCCCGCCAGGCAGGCAGGCAUCGUCCCCUUCUGCCUGUGCACCAGGGUUGGGGGCUGAGACGUAGUCAUGAGCGUCCUCGCGAGUAAGAAAACCCCUCCAAUCGGAAUUUACAGAAGAGGAAAAUUAAGGAGGGACUUGAGUCUGACAUCAUUAAAGGAUUUUUCUUUUUACAGCUUUCCCCUUAAUGCCUGACGUUGAUUUAGUGAGUUUGGUUUACACAUUGUCUCUUGAAGAAAACAAGUGCAUCUUUGUAUUCUAAAGCAACCCUUGUUCAAAGGGAGAAACUAUUCUUAACCCUGCCCACCUUCACAGUCAUAUUUGGCAGCUGCCUUAGGUCCCCUGGGACUCUCUCUCCUCUGAAAAAUGAAGGACUCAGAUCAGGUGAAUGGUUCCCAGCUCUGCAACCCACGUGGCUCCUCAGACACACAAGCCCUCUUCCAUUAGCUGCAGCACCACGGCACAGAUGACUUGAAACCACAGGCUUUCUGGCUUCUGGUUGGAACUGAGUCAGCGCACUCUGGCAACACUUAUUUCUUGCUGAUCAGAAGCUCAUUAUGUGUUUG